CGUUCGAGGCCCUGUAAUUGGAAUGAGUACACUUUAAAAGCUUUAACGAGUAUCCACUGGAGGGCAAGUCUGGUGCCAGCAGCCGCGGUAAUUCCAGCUCCAAAAGUAUAUAUUUAAGUUGUUGCGGUUAAAAAGCUCGUAGUUGGAUUUUGGGCGCAGGCGGCCGGUCCGUCGCAAGGCGUGUACUGGACGUCCUGGCCUUCCCUCCGGUUCUCCGCCGGUGCUCUUGACUGAGUGUCGGCGGCGGCCGGAACGUUUACUUUGAAAAAAUUAGAGUGUUCAAAGCAGGCUCUCGAGCCUGGAUAAUGGUGCAUGGAAUAAUGGAAUAGGACCUCGGUUCUAUUUUGUUGGUUUUCGGAGCGCGAGGUAAUGAUUAAGAGGGACAGACGGGGGCAUUCGUACUGUGCCGUUAGAGGUGAAAUUCUUGGAUCGGCGCAAGACGAACGACUGCGAAAGCAUUUGCCAAGAAUGUUUUCUUUAAUCAAGAGCGAAAGUCAGAGGUUCGAAGACGAUCAGAUACCGUCCUAGUUCUGACUAUAAACGAUGCCAACUAGCGAUCGGGGGGCGUUACAUUGACGACCCCUCCGGCAGCUUACGGGAAACCAAAGUCUUUGGGUUCCGGGGGAAGUAUGGUUGCAAAGCUGAAACUUAAAGGAAUUGACGGAAGGGCACCACCAGGAGUGGAG
rnacentral:ncRNA from 1 species